rnacentral:lncRNA from 1 species
GUCACUUACACAUGUUUAGCAGAUGUUAAUCCAAGUGUAGCGAAAUGCUUGUGCCUCUGGUUCCGACAGUACAGUAAUAUCUAACAAAUAAUCGAACAAAUUCACAACAACUACCUCGUACACACAAAUGUAAAGGGAUGGAAUAAGAAUAUGUACAUAUAAAUAUAUGUACUAGCUAUGUCCGUGCGGCAUAGGCAAGAUGCAAUAGAUGGUAUGAAAUACAGUAUAUACACAUGAGAUCAGUAAUGUAGGAUAUGUAAACAUUAUUAAAGUGGCAUUAUUUAAAGUGACUAGUGAUACCUUUAUUAAAUCCAUUUAUUAAAGUGGCCUGUGAUUUCGGUCUGUAUGUUGGCAGCAGCCUCUCUAUGCUAGUGAUGGCUGUUUAACAGUCUGAUGGCCUAGAGAUAGAAGCUGUUUUUCAGUCUCUCGGUCCCAGCGUUGAUGCACGUGUACUGACCUCGCCUUCUGGAUGAUAGCUGGGGUGAACAGGCAGUGCCUCGGGUGGUUGUUGUCCUUGAUGAUCUUUUUGGCCUUCCUGUGACAUCGGGUGGUGUAGGUGUCCUGGAGGGCAGGUAGUUUUCCCCCGGUGAUGCGUUGUGCAGACUGCACUACCCUCUGGAGAGCCUUGCGGUUGAGGGAGGUGCAGUUUCCAUACCAGGCGGUGAUACAGCCCAACAGGAUGCUCUCGAUUGUGCAUCUGUAAAAGUUUGUGAAGGUUUUAGGUGACAAGCCAAAUUUUUCAGCCUCCUGAGGUUGAAGAGGCGAUGUUGGGCCGUCGUCACCACGCAAUCUGUGUGGGUGGACCAUUUCAUUUUUUUAUUGAUGUGUACGCCGAGGAACUUUAAACUUAAAACUAUAUGGAGCAGAUCUCAGUCCUAUCCAUACCAUAUGGAGCGGAUCACACUCCUAUCCAUACUAUAUGGAGCGGAUCACACUCCUAUCCAUACUAUAUGGAGCGGAUCUCACUCCUAUCCAUACUAUAUGGAGCGGAUCACACUCCUAUACAUACCAUAUGGAGUGGAUCACACUCCUAUCAAUACUAUUUGGAGGAGAUCACACUCCUAUCCAUACUAUAUGGAGCGGAUCUCACUCCUAUCCAUACCAUAUUGAGGAGCGGAUCACACUCCUAUCCAUACCAUAUGGAGCGGAUCUCACUCCUAUCCAUACUAUAUAGAGCGGAUCUCACUCCUAUCCAAACUAUAUGGAGCGGAUCUCACUCCUAUCCAUACUAUAUGGAGCGGAUCUCACUCCUAUCCAUGCUAUAUGGAGCGGAUCACACUCCUAUCCAUACUAUAUGGAGCGGAUCUCACUCCUAUCCAUACUAUAUGGAGCGGAUCUCACUCCUAUCCAUACUAUAUGGAGCGGAUCUCACUCCUAUCCAUGCUAUAUGGAGCGGAUCACACUCCUAU